GCCCCGCCCCUAGCCCGCCUACCCACGCGGUCGCUGGGCUGGGUGAGCUGCGCCGCUGCAGGUAGUGCUGAGUUGCUCCAGGUGAUCUCCUCCUGGCAAAAAGCUCUUGGAACCGAGCCACCCUCGCCCUAGGAGCAACGCCUGUGAAUAAUAUGGGGUUUCGUCGGAUUUCUGCGCGCCGCUCUGGAUCACACGUUUGUUCUCCCUAGUUGAGUCGCAAGGCCUUCCUUCGUUCCACCUAGCAGGCUGCUUGGAAAAGGACAGAGACUGUCAUUAUUUUGCACCAGUGCCACUGGGUUAGGGUCUCCACGACUAAGCUGGUCUCAGCAAAGUGGUGUCCAUACGUGGGGUUCGAACCGAAGUCAAAGAGUCACUGGAACGACAGUUGGAGAACGUGGAACUAAGCUGGAGGGCACCCGAGUACUCUUAAGCAAUCCCCGUGGACCGAAUCAACAGCUGAUUUGGAUACCUUCAAGACACCUGAAACCUUACCAUGAGCCAGAUGCCAAGGAAGAGAUUCCAGGAGGAUCCCAAGGACUGCCCGGUUGCAGCCGUGUCGAGACUGACACUGAGGAGGACCCCAACUGUCACGAGCAACACCCAUCGAAGGCAGCCACCUACCUGAGGACAGAUCAAGAAGCUGUCACAGAUGUUGGAAGAAAACCUGAGGAAAGUGUGACAACCAGUCACAAUAAGUAAUUUAAUGAUAGCAAUGGUGGUGAUCACCAUUGCUGUGAGUAUUCCUUCAACAAGGGCUGACACUGAGAACAAUUAUA